rnacentral:rRNA from 1 species
CCUACGGGAGGCAGCAGUGGGGAAUAUUGCACAAUGGGGGAAACCCUGAUGCAGCGACGCCGCGUGAGUGAAGAAGGAUUUCGGGAUGUAAAGCUCUGUCAGCAGGGAAGAAAAUGACGGUACCUGACCAAGAAGCCCCGGCUAACUACGAGCCAGCAGCCGCGGUAAGACGUAGGGGGCAAGCGUAAUCCGGAUUUACUGGGGGUAAAGGGGGCGUAGACGGCAGGGCAAGUCUGGAGUGAAAGGCGGGGGCUCAACCCCCGUACUGCUCUGGAAACUGCCAGGCUGGAGUGCAGGAGUGGUAAGUGGAAUUCCUAGUGUAGCGGUGAAAUGCGUAGAUAUUAGGAGGAACACCAGUGGCGAAGGCGGCUUACUGGACUGUAACUGACGUUGAGGCUCGAAAGCGUGGGGAGCAAACAGGAUUAGAUACCCUUGUAGUC